rnacentral:tRNA from 1 species
UAAAAGGUAGGCUAUAAUCUAAGCCAGCGAAUUCAUGCUUCGCCGAAAGAACAAUCUCCUUUUAA